GGCCAGCGGCCGGCCGCUGGGGCCGAGUAUUGUCCCAAAGGCCGAAAAGAGACGAAAGCGGGGAGAUUGGGGGACAGCCACGUGACCGGGGGAGGAUUUACAAUAUUUUCUUUCGCUGUCGACAAUAUUGCAAAAUGUAUGGAAGGGACCGCACGGCCAGGACAGGAGCGUGAGCGCGCGGGCAAGCGUUUCCCCCCUACCGGAAAUCUGAUGGGCUUAUGACAUCAUGGCUGGCUGCUGAGCGAUGAAGUGGAUGCCACAAAGAAAUCCGACAUAUCAGAUGGAUUCUGAAAUCAGUUUCCCUCUGGCUGCGGUAACAGGCGUGAAGUCAGGAGAAUGUGAGCUUUGUUUAAGAAACAAAAAAAUAAAACUAAGCCCCGUCCCGCAUUCGAUACAAUUUUUUUUUUUUUUUAAGCAAACAGACCUUUUGGACAUCAUCCUAUUUUAAUAAAGACGCUGGCGUGUAUGAAAUGAAAGCGGCUAAUAAAUCAGACCUGAAGCUGCCUGUGAACAUUC